rnacentral:rRNA from 1 species
GUACGGGAGGCAGCAGUGGGGAAUAUUGCACAAUGGGCGCAAGCCUGAUGCAGCCAUGCCGCGUGUGUGAAGAAGGCCUUCGGGUUGUAAAGCACUUUCAGCGAGGAGGAAGGCAUUAAGGUUAAUAACCUUAGUGAUUGACGUUACUCGCAGAAGAAGCACCGGCUAACUCCGUGCCAGCAGCCGCGGUAAUACGGAGGGUGCAAGCGUUAAUCGGAAUUACUGGGCGUAAAGCGCACGCAGGCGGUUUGUUAAGUCAGAUGUGAAAUCCCCGAGCUUAACUUGGGAACUGCAUUUGAAACUGGCAAGCUAGAGUCUUGUAGAGGGGGGUAGAAUUCCAGGUGUAGCGGUGAAAUGCGUAGAGAUCUGGAGGAAUACCGGUGGCGAAGGCGGCCCCCUGGACAAAGACUGACGCUCAGGUGCGAAAGCGUGGGGAGCAAACAGGAUUAGAUACCCCGGUAGG